UAUCUGACCACCACGGAUUAAGG
rnacentral:misc_RNA from 1 species